rnacentral:misc_RNA from 1 species
GAUGAAGAACGUAGCGAAAUGCGAUACUUGGUGUGAAUUGCAGAAUCCCGUGAACCAUCGAGUCUUUGAACGCAAGUUGCGCCCGAAGCCACUAGGCCGAGGGCACGCCUGCCUGGGCGUCACACGCCGUUGCCCCCCCAUCUACUCCUUCGGGAUUGCGGGGGGGCGGAUGAUGGCCUCCCGUGCGCCUAGCCGCGCGGUUGGCAUAAAUACCAAGUCCUCGGCGACGCACGCCACGACAAUCGGUGGUUGCGAAACCUCGGUUGCCCGUCGUGUGCGUUCGUCGUGCAUCGAGGGCUCGAAAAAAUGCUCGGCUCCGGCUGGGCUUUCAACGCGAACCCAGGUCAGGCGGGGUUACCCGCUGAAUUUAAGCAUAUCAAUAAGCGGAGGA